rnacentral:rRNA from 1 species
AACGUAGGAGACAAACGUUAUCCGGAGUUACUGGGCGUAAAGGGCGUGUAGGCGGUUUGUUAAGUCUGGCGUGAAAGCCCUCGGCUCAACCGGGGAAGUGCACUCGAAACUGCAAGGCUAGAGUCUCGGAGAGGAUCGUGGAAUUCUCGGUGUAGAGGUGAAAUUCGUAGAUAUCGAGAGGAACACCGGUGGCGAAGGCGGCGAUCUGGACGAUGACUGACGCUGAGACGCGAAAGCGUGGGGAGCAAACAGG